rnacentral:rRNA from 1 species
UGGGGAAUAUUGCACAAUGGGGGAAACCCUGAUGCAGCGACGCCGCGUGGAGGAAGAAGGCCUUCGGGUUGUAAACUCCUGUCUUCGGGGACGAUAAUGACGGUACCCGAGGAGGAAGCCACGGCUAACUACGUGCCAGCAGCCGCGGUAAAACGUAGGUGGCAAGCGUUGUCCGGAAUUACUGGGUGUAAAGGGAGCGCAGGCGGGCUUUCAAGUUGGGAGUGAAAUCUAUGGGCUCAACCCAUAAAUUGCUUUCAAAACUGGAAGUCUUGAGUGGUGUAGAGGUAGGCGGAAUUCCCGGUGUAGCGGUGGAAUGCGUAGAUAUCGGGAGGAACACCAGUGGCGAAGGCGGCCUACUGGGCACUAACUGACGCUGAGGCUCGAAAGCAUGGGUAGCAAACAGG